CUUUUGUCCACAGCACGGUCAUGGCAAAAAACUUUACAAUAGGGAGUACAUGCAUGAGAUCACAGCGUUUUACCACACAACAUACAGCUCCUAAAUGAUGACUCCUGUGGCAGCAGAGAGUGAUGCCAUGGUGCAACUGGAGAUACACAAAGGCAACACAGCAAAACAAGGACUGCCAUUCCAUUACACCAUUUGGCCUGCAAGGCAGUGACCUCAGUUGGCCGAUACCCCAGGAGGCCAUGUCUCAUCACUGGAUCGCUGUGCUGGUAUGAAAGGUCAAAACUGUGCGCUGGCCUCCCACUGCUCCACUCUCUGAGGAAACAAAUCCAAGUGGUGCUUGGGAUGAGGGGGCCAACAGCAAAGUCCUGCCAACAGGCUGAGUGAGUGGGUUUUGGCAUUUGCAGCCAUCUCCUAAAAGUUGGAGCUCCUCUCAAACAGUGAGAAGGAUCCGUAUCUCAGGAAGAUAUGUGGGGAGUAGGGCUGCAGUGUGGGUGUGCCUUCUGCCUAUGGGAGGCAGGGAGGCAGGGAGGGAGGCAGUGCCAUGCCAGAGGCCAGAGGGGAACAGGGGGAGCCAAUUUGGACUCCAUGGUAAAAUUUACACCACUGAGCCCACUUCUAUAUGCAACAGAAAGAGGAAGGUGAGCUUCACUUUACUAGAAAACUGCCUAGUUCAGCCAGUGGUGUACACCACUUGCUGUUUUUGUUGUCAAAGUUUGCUUGCUCAGAAAUUUGGUUAUUACCCAGCUGAACGGAAUUUGGUUAUCACCCAGCUGAACAGAAUCUGGUUCUCCUACUCUUCGGGUAAUGAAGGAAAGUAUUUUUGUCCUAAGAAAAUUCUGAACCAUUAUGAGAACCAUUAUAAUCUUUUGCAAAAUUUGUUUAUGACACAAACAUUAAAUGCAGGUGAGAGAAAUGAGAAUAACCAGCCAAAAUCCACUGCUGUCUGAAUGUGCCAUGUAAAAUCUCUAUAGAAAGAAAAAAAAAAAUGAAAAAUCAUGUACGUAUCACAGGUGCAUAUCACAAGCAUAUAUGUAUAAUUGAUGCAGUGUAGUAACAUUCAGCACUCUUCUCUUCUAGCCCCACAUGGGCCAAAAAUGCACAGCACAGAUUUGGCUGAGCAGAGAUGACGGUGAGGGGGUAUCAGCACUCAAAGUAUAAAGAGGGACAGGCCCUGUGCCAUUAGAGUACCUAAUCCUUGGAAGCCCCACAGCUCAUGCUGUGGAGCAGAGAAGUUCCUGGGAGCAACUGAUAAAGGGAGGGGGACUGAACACUAGAAGAUGCUGGCCAGAAAAGCUGCAGAGUUUCUAUCCUUGGGGAUUCUCAAAUCCAGACCUAAUUCUAGGCAAUCUUCUAUAGGUGACCGUGCAAUUUGUAUUCAGUGCCUGAUAUUAAGGACAGUUUGUAGAGGUGGUGGAAACAGGCCUUGCAAAGCUUACAAAAGACUUCACCUGUUGACGCUGUGAAGGGUAAGAAGGUGAAGGAAGGCUGGCCCAAGAUAACCACUGGCUCUGCAGAGAUGCCAGGUAAAGGUGGAGGAAGCCAUGCAGUGUGCUGCUCCCUUAUGCAUGGCCCUGCAUUGAUUUCUGCAAAUGUGAAAACCAAGAAAGAAGCUGCAUGGAUAGAGACAGCAGAACCACUAAGGAUACUACCAAAGAGGAAGAAUCAAGAGUCUAACUGAUGGGUUAAAGCAGUGCCUGGAAAUCAGGACUGCUUGGAUCAAUGCCUAACCACAGCUGACAACAGGCAAGUCUCUUCACUGCUGUGCUUCUGCCUCCCCAUCUGGAAACCGAGGAGAGUAAACAAAUUCAGUGCCCUAUCCUCAGGGAAGCAGUGGAGACCUUCAGCUACAAGCCAUCUCUCCCAGAUUACACUUCUGAAGAUGUAAAGAAGAAAACAAGGUUCAGAAGACAGCACCUCGCCAAAAUAAAGAUAUUUUAGGAAGGUAUUUCUGACUCCAUACGGAUUAUGUGUAAACUUAAGUUACUGAGACAAAAUGGGGACUGUUUGGUUAAAGCUCAAAUCCUGCCUGGCCUUUACUAGGCUAUGUUUCAAGCAUCCUGUUUUGCCUAAUCUCUACAUCUCACUCUAUCACCUUAAUCCAACUUCUCCAGGAGUACUCUCCACAGUCCUACCCAACAGCUGGACUUGGGACCAAAAACAUCAGUCCUGGAGAACUGUGCCGCAUGGUUUCAAGUAUCUGAGGCUGAGUAGGGGUCAGAAAAUUGAGUUCAAACCAAACCCUUCUCUUGAACCUUUGACUGACCUUUGAAGGAGCCCCACAGGCUGGGUUUGGGCUGUAGGUUCCAAAAAUCUUAUUCCAGAGUCUCAUCUUGUUCUUGUGACUGAAUUAUCAUGGCCCUAUGAUAGCCAAAUUGACAGCAGUUCCACGUCAACUGUGUCAACACAGAAAUCCCAAAUUCAAAAGUACAUGGGUGGGACAGGGUGGAGAAAAGUGCCGACUAUUUUUAAUCAAAAGUUUCAACAGCCUUUCCCUAGAUAUGACGAGUUUCCAGAUUUGAAGUGCUUAGAAGCAAUCCAGAAUUUAUAUGUAGGUAAUAUAAUGGCUCUGAUGAUUAGCUGUUGAUUGAGAAAACUUGAGGAUUCUAUGACAAAAACAUAAUGUAAGCAGUGUAGUUUCCUGACAUUUCCAGUGCACUAUAAUUCUUUCUGUGUAAUGUAUAAGCCCUCUAUUUAUUUUUCAGAGUUCUGAAAGCUUAAUAUUUCACUGAUAUAUUCCCUAUUAAACUCACCUCAACAGAUCUUUGGCUUUUUGAUGGGGAGCCCUAAAAGGUUGGCCCAACUAGAGGCACUGAAGCAAAGUCCGUGUUCCUAACAGUUCUUACUUUGCUUUCUGGGGAAAGCCUUUCCUGAUCUUUUACUUCUUGGCUGUCAGCCUAAAUGCUCACUCUGCCCUUUCUAUGGACCUCCUGUAGGAGCUUUGAGCAAGGAAGCGGACAUACCAACUCUCUCACCAAAUCACGGACCAAAACACAUUUCCUUUUAUUAACAGCUCUGGAAGUAACUUUGGUUAGGUAUCCACCAUGCAGCCACAUAAAGAUCAGUCAGUUAUCUUCUGGGGUCACCUUUGUCAGUCACCUACCAGUUCAGGCAAUAAAUGUACUCUUGAAUAUGUUUGCCAAUGUUAUUCAUUUCUUUCACAAUACGUAACCCCUUUCAUUUCACAAAUAUGACGUUAGGAAAUACUACUACUCUGAAAGGGUGGUCAGGCACUGGAAUGGGCUGCCCAGAGAGGUGAUGGAGUCACCGAUCCUGGAGGUGUUCAAGGAACAUUUGGAUGUUGUGUCGAGGGACAUGAUUUAAUGAAAAUUGUUGGUGAUGGGUGAAUAGUUGGACUGGAUGAUCCUGUGGGUCUUUUCCAACCUUAGUGAUUCUAUGAUUCUAUGAUAUCAAGCCUAUCUCACUUGAGAAAAUCUUUGCUGCAAAAAUGUUAGAUGGUAGCCAUGCCACCAGUCCACUGAUGACACUUACAGGUUUAUAGCAUGGGGCCACUAAAAGGCUUUGCAAUCUCAUCCUUCACAAGGAUGGAGAGGACUUUGGGGUUCUGAGUACUACUGAGCACUGCUGAUGCCCACUGAGCAUUACUGAGAUGUGUGAGGUUUUCAAGAAAGUCUUGACUCACAAAGUCAUCUUGUUACACGAAGAUCUGUCUUCAUUUCAAAAGAACCUUCCAGCACUGGUAAGUGCAUAAAAGUCCUGGAAAUGUGGUAUCCAAGGGUUCCAAAGACAGUAUCCAACACAAAAUAUAUAUAUAUUAUUUUUAAAAUGCUACUGUGUUAAAAUCAAUCUUAUGAUUCAUUUCUGAAACUCCUGAUCUUGUAUGCUUAGGAGUGGAAGUAUAUGCUCCCUGACCUCAACAAAGGCUUAUAAUAAUGACAAGUUAUUUCAUUAAGAUAUAGCAGCUGUUGUACUACAACAGCCACCCCUAAAAAUUCUUCAGUUGCCUGAGGUAAGCAAAUAAUGAUUCUUCAUUAUUCACAGGUUGUAUUCUUUAUAUUAAGCACAGGGAAGUUUAGAUAACAUCUAAUUGCAAAGUGAAGCACUGGAAAGUUUUUGAGGGUGGCAACAGCAUACCUAAAUGACAUUUAUUUAUUUAGAAGCUCUUAACACAUGCCUUUCACUUAUCCCAGGCAGACACUGAGCCCUGAAAUCAAAACUCAUGCAAUAUCACUUGGCCCCAUGCCUGUACUUGGAAGAUGUUUCUCAGCACACCCAAAACAAGAUACUGCUUUCCCAGUUUCUACCACUUAAUCAUUCUCCUGCAGACACCACCCAGAGUAAAAAACUGGGAUAAGCAGAGAAAUCCUUACUUAAAUAGACUUCAGAUGACUGUACUGAGCAUUAACAUUACCUAAAUCAUUAGAAAUAAAAAUUUAUUCCCCAAGUUUUGUCUGCCAUUUCAAUCUUAGCUAAUUUUUCUUCCAGCUUUAUAAAUCUCUGAAUGUGCAGAUUCUUGACUGAAACACUGACACAACCACAGCAAUGGCAGCCAGGCUGUGCUGUAACAGCAUUAGAAGCAAGGCAAUGGGACAGUCUACAUCUUACUGUUAAGAAGCCUUAGCAAAACUUUGUGAUCACAAGACAUAGUAGCUGCAGAUUUAAUGCUUACAGAACAGGAAAGCAUGUUACGGUCACUGAUCUGGGUUGACCCGCAAAACACAAGCCACAGAAUCAGUGAUUCCUGGGCCUUUUGUCACAUGCAUCAUGCUGAGAUGGAUUUUUCAGUGGUUAACAUGCCAAUAAAGGCAAGGCCAUGUGGCACUGCAAUAUUCACAGAGUUGUCUGUCACUCCACCCUCGUUACACAAACAGAUUUGAGGUCUCAAAUCUUUUUAAAGAAAAGAACCUCUAACAAAGCAUUUUAAAAAUGUCCCCUCAUCCCCAGUCCAGCAUGCAUCAAGGGAUGUUUUUCAUUACUGCAACCCUAACCCUAUCCCAGAAACAGGUUUUCAGAUGAGCUGGACCUUACCUGGCAUUACUCCAGUGCCAUUUCAAAUACGCACAUUUAGCAGCGAUUUUCUAAGUGCAUACACCUUUAUUCACUGCUCAUUUGCAGAAAGGCUCUUUUCCAAGGAAAAGGAACUUGCAUUUCUCCCUGUCCAUUUACAAGGAGCCAGGGAGCUUGGAGGCAUACAAAACACAGCCUUUUCUUCCAGGCAGGCACACACAUGAUUCCAAUCUCCUCGCUCCGAAUCUGGAAGCCCCUGCUGCUACUUUAGACCACAGAAUCUGAAAACAUGCCAUAGAGGAAGCAAGCAGGAGGCAGGGAUCCUACACACGCAGCCAUGACUGCAGUGUGGCUCAGAGCCCCACUGUGAGUAGCAACCAUCAGUGCAGCACAUCAGUGUGUCGCUGGCUGAGCUCUCUUAGGCAAUGAAGAAAGAAAGAAAAUGAAGUGAGCCUGGUUCUUGUCAACAGAGAGCAGUGAAGAGAAGGCAGCAGGGCAGAGGGCUGCUCUUAUUAAGUGAUUCAUUCUGGACAGGAAACUGAUGCUUGGCAGUGAGGGCAGCAGUACAGAUCCCUGCUGCUGCUGAGCUGUUGGUUUACAUAAAUGCCCUCAAACCCAGAAGAUGUGUGACUAGCCUCUGGGUCAGGCUCUUAACAAAUGAAGGUGAAAAUAUGCAAUACCAGAGCAUCCUUUCCUUCUUUAGCACCUCUCCUCCCAACCACACUGGCUUUGCUCCAUUCAACUGGUGUCUUUGCUACAGCACCCAGUGAUACUGCAGGGAGAAGAAAUCCUGCAUCAGCAAGUUGUGUUCAGGCAAGCCCAAAGUAGGCUUGUUUGGUCUCAUUUCUUGUAAAAUGCUAGAUUUAGUGAAGUUCUUCAAAGUGGUUGUGCACUUCACUCAUAUCCAAAACCUUAUGGCUUUAAUAAAUUAACUGUGCUUAAUUAAUACUGUGGGUCUGAAAAUUCCCUGUAAUUUGUGAUCACUUGUUUUUCUAAUAUUUUGGUCAGUGUCUAAUCUCGUUGGCGUUGCCAGCUAGAUCCAUGUAAUUUCUGCUAGAAUUGAAUUUUCCACACAGUGUAACCUUAUAGCCCUCUGGCGUUCCCUGACACAUAAAGAGAGGUGGUUAUCAUCAGUUUGACCAACUCCUGUACAUUCAUGUUUUCAAGUAUGGCACAAAAUAACAUUCACUGGGUCUCUUGUCCUGUAAAAGUGCCUUAGAGUUUUAAUAGUAUUCCCAACGAGUUUUGUUACUUCCUUUCUGACAGCACAUCUUUCCUAAGAUGUGGUGAAACUCAGAGGGACAUGACAGUUUACAAUGCUAUCACUCAAUAUAAGGGAUGCACCUACAGUUCAUCAGUUUCCCACUGGAAAUUCCUUUCUCAUCAACAAGAAUAUCAGUUUUGGUG
ensembl:lncRNA